UGGAAACCUCAGGAUUCUACCAGGUGCUGA
rnacentral:piRNA from 1 species